rnacentral:rRNA from 1 species
AUACGGAGGGUGCAAGCGUCACUCGGAAUCACUGGGCGUAAAGCGCGCGCAGGCGGCCUGAUAAGUUGGAUGUGAAAGCCUACGGCUCAACCGUAGAACUGCAUCCAAAACUGUCAGGCUAGAGUGUGGGAGAGGAAGAUGGAAUUAGUUGUGUAGGGGUAAAAUCCGUAGAGAUAACUAGGAAUACCAAAAGCGAAGGCAAUCUUCUGGAACACUACUGACGCUGAAGCGCGAAGGCGUGGGGAGCAAACAGGAUUAGAAACCCCAGUAGUCC